GUGCUUCAGCAGCACAUGUACUAAAAUUAAAAUGAUACAGAGAAGGUUAGCAUAGUCCCAACACAAAAAUGAUAUACAAAUUUGUGAAGUGUUCCAUAUUUUU